rnacentral:lncRNA from 10 species
UUUCAUCCAUGUCAACCAUGAAAGACAGAGUUGAUCUCAGCCUGAGCUAGAGAUGGAUCCCCAUCCAUGUACCUUUGCUCAACUGUCCUCAGACCAGAUCCAGAAUUCACCCUGCUGUUUCUCCAUGAGUCUGACCUGCAUCAACUGCCUCCCUUAUUCUGGGAUUCCAGUUGUGGAGCUCAAGGACAAGUCCAUUCUGGGCUGGCUGUAUCCAACUUCUUUAGUCCAACUAUAUCCCCACUGGAAGCCAGGCUCUUUCCAACAGCUGUCACCCAUGCCUCUUUCUAUGUUUGUUAUCUGUCUCUAGGUUCUGGUAACUACUUCCUUCCCUUGCCCCUUCUGGCCUAGGGUGCUACCAAUCCCUCCUCCAAAUCCAACUGUCACUAGCCUCAAAGUACUUGUAGCUUCCUCACCUUACUUUCACCUUAAUAAAUGGUCCCCCUACUAUCUCUCUUCAAAGCACCCAAUUUGAGUGUGCCAUCUGUUUCUUGCCAGGAUCCUGGUUGGUACAUCAACCAAGCUGCACUGAUGGAGGAGCACUGUGCUGAACUUUAGGAAUGAAGCCACAGGGCCCUCACUGCCCCCAUAGUCACCUUGGUCAUCUUCUGCCUCCCUGAAAGACUAAAUUCAGUCAGUUCAGAUACAUACACAUCCAGACAUGUCAGGGAAAACUCCAUUUUGUAAGGAUCUCUGCUUAAAAUGCCAAAAGUUUGAAAGUUGGCAAACACUUGAGAAAAGCACAGUUCUCUGUCUUACUCUUACUCUAAACUUGGAGAUAAAUGCAUUUUUAAAAUUGUGCAUGUUAGAGUGCUAACGUGUACA